rnacentral:lncRNA from 10 species
GCCCCACCCCUGAGCCACUGGACAGGGGUAUCCUGGCCCAUCUGGACUGGAAACGUGGCCCCACCCUUUUGAAACUAUUCUGACCUAGACCCUUGCACUCUGGGUCUGUGAUGGGAGGUAAAGUCCUGAUAAAGUCUUUGGUGUAAUAAUAGAAAAAAAACCCUUUGAGGGCUGUGGUAAGCCACAGUCGUUUUUAAAUACCUGUUAAACAGAAAGAGUGGCUCAUACUAGUGGUCAGCGUGUGAGAAAUUCAAAAUGCU